GACUCCAUAGCUAAGUGGUUAUAGCAUGAGAUUGCAGUUAUACGUUAUCUCGGGGUCGCGUGUUCGAGUCACGCUGGAGUCU